rnacentral:lncRNA from 1 species
AGCUGCAGUUGGAUUCAGUACCUGGCCCAGGAAAUUCCGUAUGCCAGGGGUGCAGCCAUUUAAAAAAAAAAAAAAAAAUCUAAAAAGAAAGUAAGUAAAAUUAAAUCUCUACUCCUACGAAAAUUAACAACAGGCCUGUUAAAUAAUAAUACAAAUUGGAAAUAUAUUCUUUUGUUUAUUUAUUUAUUUUUAUCUUUUUGCCAUUUCUUGGGCCGCUCCCACGGCACAUGAAGGUUCCCAGACUAGGGGUCUAAUUGGAGCUGUAGCUGCCGGACUGUGCCAGAGCCACAGCAACGCGGGAUCCGAGCCACAUCUGCAACCUACACCACAGCUCACGGCAAUGCGGGAUCUUUAACCCACUGAGCAAGGCCAGGGAUUGAACCCACAACCUCAUGGUUCCUAGUCGGAUUUGUUAACCACCAAGCCACAAUGGGAACUCCAAAAAUAUAUGCUUUUGAUUGAAAGAAGUUACAUUGUCCUUAUGUGUCUUAGACGUGAUAAUAUGGAAAACAACUAAAUGGUCUACAUUCAGAUUAUUAGAAAUGUUAUGAGCCAUCUGAUAUUUAACAAGUAGUUAUCAAAUAUAAUGGAAAGAGAAUUAGAUCCUACUUACAAUAUUUUAGAAGAUAGAAAUUACAUUUGAAUAAAUCUAACAAAGUUGUGUAAGACCACCAGGAACAAUAACAAAAUCGAUGCAUUUAUGGAAGAACAUUAAAACCAUAAUAUUGGAGUUCCUGUUGUGGCUCAGCAGGUUACAAACCCAACAUAUCCAUGAGGAUUCAGGUUCGAUCACUGGCUUCACUCAGUGGGUUAAAGGAUCUGGCCUUGCCCUAAGCUGUAGUGUAGAUCGCAGAUGUGGUUUAGAUACUGGGUUGCUGUGGCUGUGGCGUAGGCCUGUAGCUGCAGCUCCAAUUCAACCCUAAAAAAUAAAUAAAUAAAACCCUAAUAGUAAGAAGACUAAGUACCAUCAAAAUGUCAGUUCUCCUCAAUUUUUAGUUCAUUUAUGAUCCUAAAAGAGUAAAUUUUUAAAAUGAAGUGAACAAUCUUAUUUUAAAAUAUGUGUAGAAGGUGAAUGUUUAAUAACAAGACAAAGCAGGAGAGGUUGUCUUAUCAAAUACCAAUGUGUAUAAAGAGGCAAUGAUAAUUAACACAAAGUGAAAUUUGAUGUUGGUGCAAGUACAGAAAAAUAUUAUUAGAAAGGAGUGCCUAGAAACAUGCUCCCCACACAGGAAAAAAAAAGUGAUGCAUGACAGAAAUAGCAUUGUAACAAUCAAAAAGUAAAUUAUUUAAAUUGUUGGGAGGUUGUUUAUCAAUGUGUAAAAAAUGUAAAUCAGAUCUCUAUUUCAUAUCACAAAACAAAAAAAAUAAUAAUAUUGAGUUUAUAGAAGUUGGAAACUUUUGUAUAUUAAAUAACAGCAAAAUGAAAGAUAAGCUGCAUCUAGGGAGAAGAUAAUUAUAAUCUCUAUGACAAAGAUUAUUAUCUAGAAUAUGAAAAGGGUAUCUGUGGACGUAAACAUAAAGUUGAUUUAUUUUGU